rnacentral:lncRNA from 1 species
AUGGUGCUUGGAUGGACAAAAGAAGCGAACAUAUACAGAUCUAAUGAACGCGCUGAAUUGGUUUCUGUUCAGCAUUUCUCACUGGACUACCAGAGAAAGGAAAUUAAAUCAACUCACGACAGCUAUCUUGCACAUCUCACCUGGGAAGGUAUGCAUAAGGGCAUAUGUAAACAUAGACCCUGUGGGAGCCUAGUUCUGAGGUCCUGCUGUCAUGGGAAAAACACUGUGCGUGAUGCCACAGCAGGAACAGCAUGGGGAUGGCAGGGCUUUACACAUGGGAUGGCAAAGAGUUUUAUUUGCUUCUGACUUGCACUAGAUUAUGUCUCGCCAGGUGAAGAGCUGUCAAGCACUUACGUGUUUCCCAGAAACAUUGGCACUCUGACAUUCAUUAUUUUUUGACAUAUUUAAAGGUUGAAGUUCAUGUAGGAGAGCACAUGAAGUCAUACAGACCACUAAACUCUUCUCUUUCCCUAACACUUAUACAAUAAAAUCAGACAAAUCCAUUAAAAUCA